AAGGAAAACCCCCAUAAUCUUCCUGUCGAACUUGGCGGAACGCACAGAAGAUUAUGGGGGCCUCACAGAAUACGGGAUAAGUAUAUAUGAAACCGUGUCAGAGAUUCAACCCUUCGCAGUGUAUUAACGCACGGCAUUCUGUUUCCGCCAU
rnacentral:ncRNA from 1 species